rnacentral:other from 1 species
CGUCUCCUGCAGUGUUCGACACGGGCCGGGAAACUCUCGUCCCUAUUUUUCAACCUUGGGGCCAUGUUCUGUCGGUAACAUUGAGCAUGACCGCGUAGUGCGGAAAGCCUUAAGUGCCACGGCCGGCCCCACUUUUUGCUCUGGCUCGAGAGCAAUGGCCUAUGACGGCACAGGCGGGAGACGU